GCCUGAGCUAUUGGCCGAAUAUUUAUAAUUGAUAAUAAGACUCUCUUGUGGUUAUUUGGGAAGUGACUGCUGGGAUGAGAAAACCCCACCUAUCUCUGCUUACUAUCUUGUUCUCUGAGACUGGCUCAGCCUGCCUUCUUACAGCAGCCAGGACCACCAGACCAUGAGUGUCACCACCCACAGUGAGCUGGGCCAAUCAUCAAUCAAGAAAACACACCACAGACUUGCCCACAGGCCAAAUGACCAGAAUCACAGCUGACACCAUGAGGGACAGAAGGUGUGAGAGUAUAUGCCCUCUCUUCCUCCACAGCAGGCCUUCCCGGAGAGUGCCCGUUGCCAGGGAGGAAGUCUGACUGCCCAGCUCCUCCAGAAACAUGAAGCAGCAUGCACAUGAAGGAGGCUUUAGUUGGCUCACCGCCGCAGACUGGCUGGAAGCACAGAGAGGUCAGGUGCCAGGAUGCUGUUCUCAGAAAUGCUUCUUCCGUUUGUCAGCCUCUCUUCCCACUGAGCUGGCCUCAUCUCCAGGGAACAAAGAUGGCCUCCAGCAGCACCUGCUCACUUCCCAGCCGCAAAGGAGAGGGCAGCUCUUCUCUCACCCCAGCCCAAAUCUCGGUAUCAUUUCUCUUUGGCACCUGGGACAUGUGGCCAUCUAUGGACCACUCACUGUGACUGAUGAAUAAGGCUUCCAUGGGUACCAAAGACUGGAGGGAGAAGGGCCAACAGCUUCCAAGCACAUGCUUUGGGGGGUGGGGUGGUUUUCAGCAAAGGGAUUGAGACAAGGGCAGCCAGACAGGCAAAAACCUGCUCACCACACUCACCAGUGUCCACAUCACCAACAGCAUAACUAGCAGAGCGGUGCAUUCUCGAAGAGGAGGCACAGCAGACAUUAUAAAGACGAGCCCCAGCUGCACUGGGAAGCUGGCAGGGAGGGGAGAUGUUGUCCUAGGAUUCCUUCAGGCGUUAGGGGAAAACUCAAGGGCUCUGAGAUGUAGGAGCUACUUUUAGAGGUCAGAGGAACUGAAGGUCGUGUGGCAGCAGCAGUGGCACCCCUGGGGGCUUAAUGUAUUGGGGAGCUGGCAUUGCUGGUCUCAUAUCAUGCCCAGAGCUGUCCCUUUCCUAAUACAGGAAGUGCAGUCUUUAGUCAUAUUCCAUCCACGUCAACAGGCAACAGCAUCACUUUGCAAGGACUCCUAGCCAUGCUUCGGGGGGAUGUUGGUGACUAACCAGGACAGCUUUAAUAAAACUAGGAAGGACAUUUGUCCUCUUUGCUGAACUCUUUUACGCUCUCUUUAUAUUGUUCCCACAAAGGGCGAAUAAAGUGACUAACAGGCAACUGACAUUUUCCAAGCAUUAUGUGAUAACCCUGAGAGGUCCAGCCUACUCCUCCGACCUGCAGCUGAAAGCUCUGUGCUCUGGAGGAGAUGCAGUGACUAACCGGGCAGAAGGUGAGGUCAUCAGUCUGCAGACCGGGUCACCGAACUCCCGAUCACUCAUCUCCAACCGUCGUGCCCCAGCUGAGCAUGUGAAAGGAGACUGGAGGAGGAGGGCGGGAGAAUCAUCUUAAGAGGAAAUGGUUGAAGUGUAAAGCAAUCCACAGUAAGAGAUGAAGAAAAACUCCAAGUGAACAAGAAGGGGCUGCCAUGCAAGGAGGACAGCCUUGUUGACAUAACCCAACUAUGAAAGCACCAAGAAUCCAAAGCAUCCAAGCUGUUGCUGCUGCAGCUGGGGAAAGAAAAUAUCCAAAUGUGUCCUUAAAACCCAGACACUUACCUAGGAUGGAAAGGAAUCCCCCCGGAGGGAAGUCGGCAGGCACAGGCUCUGGGCGGAGGGAGCAGCCACUCGAUGGAUUUGAAUCUUCUGCCCCCACUGCCUCUCAAACCACUGCUGGGUGCUAGUGCAGAGCUCAUGGUCACACAGGGUACACGCCGCAAAUUUGCCUCGAAUGCCUGCAGGAGUCCUGGGGACAUAUAAGAUCGACACAGCCACUUCCUCCAUCCCUUGAUGGCGCAUUGGAGAGGGCACAAGGGAAGCCUGUUUUAUA